GCCUUAGUAACGGCGAGUGAAGCGGCAACAGCUCAAAUUUGAAAUCUGGCUCCUUAUGGGGUCCGAGUUGUACUUUGCAGAGGGUGGUUCGGCGUCGGCUCCUGUCUAAGUUCCUUGGAACGGGACGUCAGAGAGGGUGAGAACCCCGUACGCGAUGGGCGGCCGGUCGCCGUGUGAACCCCCUUCGACGAGUCGAGUUGUUUGGGAAUGCAGCUCUAAAUGGGAGGUAUAUUUCUUCUAAAGCUAAAUACUGGCCAGAGACCGAUAGCGCACAAGUAGAGUGAUCGAAAGAUGAAAAGCACUUUGGAAAGAGAGUCAAACAGCACGUGAAAUUGUUGAAAGGGAAGCGCUUGCAACCAGACUUGGCUGCCGUUGUUCAUCGGGGGUUUGUCCCCCGUGUACUCGACGGCAGGCAGGCCAGCAUCAGUUGGGGCGGUUGGAAAAAGGCCUUGGGAAUGUAACUCUCUUCGGGGAGUGUUAUAGCCCAGGGCGCCAUACAGCCAGCCCCGACUGAGGUCCGCGCUUCGGCUAGGAUGCUGGCGUAAUGGUCGCAAGCGGCCCGUCUUGAAACACGGACCAAGGAGUCUAACAUCUAUGCGAGUGUUUGGGUGUCAAGCCCGGGCGCGGAAUGAAAGUGAACGGAGGUGGGACCCAGGGCGCGAGCUUUGGCGCACCAUCGACCGAUCCUGAUGUCUUCGGAUGGAUUUGAGUAAGAGCAUAGCUGUUGGGACCCGAAAGAUGGUGAACUAUGCCUGAAUAGGGUGAAGCCAGAGGAAACUCUGGUGGAGGCUCGCAGCGGUUCUGACGUGCAAAUCGAUCGUCAAAUUUGGGCAUAGGGGCGAAAGACUAAUCGAACUAUCUAGUAGCUGGUUCCUGCCGAAGUUUCCCUCAGGAUAGCAGUAACGUAUUCAGUUUUAUGAGGUAAAGCGAAUGAUUAGAGGCCUGGGGGUUGAAACAACCUUCACCUAUUCUCAAACUUUAAAUAUGUAAGAAGUCCUUGUUGCUUUGUU
rnacentral:rRNA from 1 species